GACGGGGCCCGCACAAGCGGUGGAGCAUGUGGCUUAAUUCGAAGCAACGCGAAGAACCUUACCAGGUCUUGACAUCCCCUGACAACCCGAGAGAUCGGGCGUUCCCCUUCGGGGGGACAGGGUGACAGGUGGUGCAUGGUUGUCGUCAGCUCGUGUCGUGAGAUGUUGGGUUAAGUCCCGCAACGAGCGCAACCCCUAUCUCUAGUUGCCAGCGAUUCGGUCGGGGACUCUAGAGAUACUGCCCCGGUUAACGGGGAGAAGGUGGGGAUGACGUCAAGUCCUCAUGGCCCUUAUGCCCAGGGCUACACACGUGCUACAAUGGGCGGUACAAAGGGUAGCGAUGCCGCGAGGUGAAGCCAAUCCCAAAAAGCCGUCCACAGUUCGGAUUGGAGUCUGCAACUCGACUCCAUGAAGCCGGAAUCGCUAGUAAUCGCAGAUCAGCACGCCGCGGUGAAUACGUUCCCGGGCCUU
rnacentral:rRNA from 1 species